GAUGAACGCUGGCGGCGUGCCUAAUACAUGCAAGUCGAACGAACGGACGAGAAGCUUGCUUGUCUGAUGUUAGCGGCGGACGGGUGAGUAACACGUGGAUAACCUACCUGUAAUACGGGUAUCACUUCGGAAAACCGUAUCUAAUACCGGAUAAUAUUUUGAACCGCGGUGUUCAAAAGUGAAAGACGGUCUUGCUGGCACUUAUAGAUGGAUCCGCGCUGCAUUAGCUAGUUGGUAAGGUAACGGCUUACCAAGGCAACGAUGCAUGGACGACCUGAGGGAGGGAUCGGCCACACUGGAACGGAGACACGGUCAAGACUCCUACGGGACGGAGCAGAAGGGAAUCUUCCGCAGUAGGCGGAAGCAUGACGGAGCAACGCCGCGUGAGUGAUGAAGGUCUUCGGAUCGUAAUACUCUGUUAUUAGGUAAGAACAUCUGUGUAAGUAAAUGUGCCCAUCUUGACGGUACCUAAUCAGAAAGCAACGGCUAACUACGUG
rnacentral:rRNA from 1 species